rnacentral:lncRNA from 1 species
GAAGGAGGCCACUCUGCUGCAGCUGAGGGAGCAGCUGGAAGGAGAGAGGAGAGAAGCAGUGGCAGGCCUGGAGAAGAAGCACAGCACUGAGCUGGAGCAGCUCUGUUCCUCACUGGAAGCCAAACACCGGGAGGUGAUCUCCAACCUCCAGAAGAAAAUAGAGGGAGCUCAGCAGAAAGAGGAGGCCCAGUUACAGGAGAGCCUUGGGCGGGCUGAGCAGAGAACUCACCAGAAGGUUCAUCAGGUGAUCGAGUAUGAGCAGGAGCUCAGCAGCCUCCUUCGAGACAAGCGCCAGGAGGUGGAGAGGGAGCAUGAGAGGAAGAUGGACAAGAUGAAGGAGGAGCACUGGCAAGAGAUGGCUGAAGCCAGAGAGCGAUAUGAAGCUGAGGUAGCCUCCGCCCAGCAUGCACAGCAUAGGCACAGCAGCCAGGGUCCUUCUCAGCUGGCUGUCAAGACCCGGGGAGAGGAUGAGGUCAGGAAAGGGGUUAGGGGAGACUUACCUGUCUGGCUCCCUGCGACAACAAGGCCUUGUUCAGCUUUUUCCGCCCGAAGCUUGAGAAACCCUGGUUCCCCGGCAAGGGUUGCUCGACCGCCCACAGUGGCUGCUCUUAAAAAAAAAAAAAAUCAUAAUGAUUGCUGGUUGAAACUAAGGUGUUACUCGGCGCUGGGGGCCACUCUGAGCUCCUUAG